GCCUGGGUGGCUCAGUCGGUUAAGCGUCUGACUUCGGCUCAGGUCAUGAUCAUGUGGUUUGUGAGUUCAAGCCCCACAUCAGGCU
rnacentral:tRNA from 1 species